CAACGACAGACUCCGAGUCUUGCAGAAGCUGGUGCCCAACGGAACCAAAGUAGUAAAUCGAUUCUCUUUUGUCCACUUUGUGAAGCAAACUGAACUGCGGAUUGUGCUAGUUAUUAGCAGUAUUUUCUGACUGUUGUGAAAUUUCUUCACAGGUGGAUCUCAGCACUAUGCUGGAGGAGGCAGUCCUCUACGUCAAGUUCUUGCAGCUACAGAUCAAGGUGCUGAGUUCUGACGAGAUGUGGAUGUACGCGCCGCUCGCUUACAGCGGCAUGAGCUUCGGAAUCGAUCUGAGGAUCACCCCUCAGUGAUGAGCCUGUUCUUUUAAAAAGAAAAAUCCAUGAUGAACUUGACUCGCUUGAUUUCCAUCUCAACGAGGCGAAAUCUAACCGUUCUGAAAGAGAAUGAACUGUUAAGAACGAUCCAUGCUUACUAAUGUAAUACUGACGAUGUUACAGAAUUUCUGUACCCAAGAGUUUGCAAUCUUCCUUUGCAAGAAGCCAAGAAGAAGCAAUCUUCCGGUCACUCGACGGCAUGUCUUCAGAAUCACAAAUGCAAACCAGGCUUUGAUCUUCACAGGUCCUGCACUUUGUACAUCAGCAGAACCUGUGCCGGGAACGGAAGUUUUUUUCAGUAGAGCACAUGGCAUGUUUUUGUAGGAGCUGCAGAAGACACGCAUUAUGUGACUGAUAUAAUGUCAGAGUAGACUUCGUAUUUUCUCCGGCUGAUUAUUGUUGGUGGAAGCAGAGGAAUAAUACUACUGGUGACACAAAAUGUAAAUUCCGCAAUAUCUCAUAAUGAUGUAUCAAAGAUUAACGACCCGUCGGUGAUUCU